rnacentral:rRNA from 1 species
CCCUUUGGGGUGUGACUGCGUACCUUUUGUAUAAUGGGUCAGCGACUUAUAUUCUGUAGCAAGGUUAACCGAAUAGGGGAGCCGGAGGGAAACCGAGUCUUAAUUGGGCGUUAAGUUGCAGGGUAUAGACCCGAAACCCGGUGAUCUAGCCAUGGGCAGGUUGAAGGUUGGGUAACACUAACUGGAGGACCGAACCGACUAAUGUUGAAAAAUUAGCGGAUGACCUGUGGCUGGGGGUGAAAGGCCAAUCAAACCGGGAGAUAGCUGGUUCUCCCCGAAAGCUAUUUAGGUAGCGCCUCGUGAAUUCAUCUCCGGGGGUAGAGCACUGUUUCGGCUAGGGGGCCAUCCCGGCUUACCAACCCGAUGCAAACUGCGAAUACCGGAGAAUGUUAUCACGGGAGACACACGGCGGGUGCUAACGUCCGUCGUGAAGAGGGAAACAACCCAGACCGCCAGCUAAGGUCCCAAAGUCAUGGUUAAGUGGGAAACGAUGUGGGAAGGCCCAGACAGCCAGGAUGUUGGCUUAGAAGCAGCCAUCAUUUAAAGAAAGCGUAAUAGCUCACUGGUCGAGUCGGCCUGCGCGGAAGAUGUAACGGGGCUAAACCAUGCACCGAAGCUGCGGCAGCGACACUCAGGUGUUGUUGGGUAGGGGAGCGUUCUGUAAGCCUGCGAAGGUGGCCUGUGAGGGUUGCUGGAGGUAUCAGAAGUGCGAAUGCUGACAUAAGUAACGAUAAAGCGGGUGAAAAGCCCGCUCGCCGGAAGACCAAGGGUUCCUGUCCAACGUUAAUCGGGGCAGGGUGAGUCGACCCCUAAGGCGAGGCCGAAAGGCGUAGUCGAUGGGAAACGGGUUAAUAUUCCCGUACUUGGUGUUACUGCGAAGGGGGGACGGAGAAGGCUAUGUUGGCCGGGCGACGGUUGUCCCGGUUUAAGCGUGUAGGUGUGUGUUCCAGGUAAAUCCGGUUCACUUUAACACUGAGGCGUGAUGACGAGGCACUACGGUGCUGAAGCAACAAAUGCCCUGCUUCCAGGAAAAGCCUCUAAGCAUCAGGUAACAUCAAAUCGUACCCCAAACCGACACAGGUGGUCAGGUAGAGAAUACCAAGGCGCUUGAGAGAACUCGGGUGAAGGAACUAGGCAAAAUGGUGCCGUAACUUCGGGAGAAGGCACGCUGACACGUAGGUGAAGUGAUUUACUCAUGGAGCUGAAGUCAGUCGAAGAUACCAGCUGGCUGCAACUGUUUAUUAAAAACACAGCACUGUGCAAACACGAAAGUGGACGUAUACGGUGUGACGCCUGCCCGGUGCCGGAAGGUUAAUUGAUGGGGUCAGCGCAAGCGAAGCUCCUGAUCGAAGCCCCGGUAAACGGCGGCCGUAACUAUAACGGUCCUAAGGUAGCGAAAUUCCUUGUCGGGUAAGUUCCGACCUGCACGAAUGGCGUAAUGAUGGCCAGGCUGUCUCCACCCGAGACUCAGUGAAAUUGAACUCGCUGUGAAGAUGCAGUGUACCCGCGGCAAGACGGAAAGACCCCGUGAACCUUUACUAUAGCUUGACACUGAACAUUGAGCCUUGAUGUGUAGGAUAGGUGGGAGGCUUUGAAGUGUGGACGCCAGUCUGCAUGGAGCCGGCCUUGAAAUACCACCCUUUAAUGUUUGAUGUUCUAACGUGGACCCGUGAUCCGGGUUGCGGACAGUGUCUGGUGGGUAGUUUGACUGGGGCGGUCUCCUCCUAAAGAGUAACGGAGGAGCACGAAGGUUGGCUAAUCCUGGUCGGACAUCAGGAGGUUAGUGCAAUGGCAUAAGCCAGCUUGACUGCGAGCGUGACGGCGCGAGCAGGUGCGAAAGCAGGUCAUAGUGAUCCGGUGGUUCUGAAUGGAAGGGCCAUCGCUCAACGGAUAAAAGGUACUCCGGGGAUAACAGGCUGAUACCGCCCAAGAGUUCAUAUCGACGGCGGUGUUUGGCACCUCGAUGUCGGCUCAUCACAUCCUGGGGCUGAAGUAGGUCCCAAGGGUAUGGCUGUUCGCCAUUUAAAGUGGUACGCGAGCUGGGUUUAGAACGUCGUGAGACAGUUCGGUCCCUAUCUGCCGUGGGCGCUGGAGAACUGAGGGGGGCUGCUCCUAGUACGAGAGGACCGGAGUGGACGCAUCACUGGUGUUCGGGUUGUCAUGCCAAUGGCACUGCCCGGUAGCUAAAUGCGGAAGAGAUAAGUGCUGAAAGCAUCUAAGCACGAAACUUGCCCCGA